AAAUUUCGUCUGUGAUUUAGAAAUUGCUAAUACAGAGUUCGGAACAUAUAGUCACCAUAAACAUCUGGAUCAUUGGGUUUUGAAUGGGCUCCCUCCCCCUUGAGAUUAGACAGCGGCGAGCUCGAGCCGAGGAUGACGUCAGCCGAGGACGCCAUGACGUCGCCGCCAGUGGAGGAAGAACCUUGACGGGUUUGGGGAUUAGGUUUUAAGCUUGAGAAGAUAAACCAAAGUUGUGGGAUGUCAAUCCAGCGGCGCAGAAGUUUCCAAGAAUCCGACGGCGAAGUUCUUUUAGAGCAUCGGCCUUGAUGAACAAAUCUGCGCCCCUAUAUGUCUGCAGACAUGAGCCGGCCGGCCCUCAUUUGUCUGUGUCCGCAGUUUUGAACCAUCAAUUCCAUGCAACGUGGAUUCGGCCUUCGUACAAAGAUCGAAAAGAGAACUAUACUCGAUAGAGAACCAAACUUCCUACUCCUAGUUCAAGGAGAUGUCGAUGCCCGCCUUGCCGGAGCUGCGGGCCUCGUGGUCAUUGACGGUGGGGCGAAUCUUCGGCAUCUCCUCCUCCCCAUUGUUGUCCGCUAAGAUCCGCUCCCAUCUCAUGUCGCGGAGGUGGAUAAGCCACCUCCCGCUCGGACUGGAGCGAGUCAAGGAUGGCCUGGUUUUCGGCCACGAGGCCUGAAUCGGUGACAAGCGUAGCGAAGGCAGCACCCGCUUGCUCUGCCUCCAACUGUGCCUCCGCCGCGAGGUGCUCCGCCUCCACCACAUCGGCUUGGGCGAGGUAGAAGCUCUUAGGCACCUGAACGCAUGUUGACUAAUGAUAAAUCAUCGCCAGGUCAGUGUUCGAGACGCUAGGAGGACAAAUGCAAACCUGUGAACCUCGAGAUAUGUUAGCAGUUAGCACGACCAAGCCAAGAGCGUUUAAAUCACUGAAUAGAGUGGGUCAAAGAUAUCAUGCUACCUAGCACAGUAAUAAUGCAAAUAUCAUGUUUGAUAUGAUGUGUUUGUAUUAUUACUGUUACUCUUACUAGUAUCAUCUACUACUACCACGACUAUUACUGCUACUAAUACUUUUCAAACGAGGUCGCGUUGACAUAAACAGUAUUGAACCAGUCUUAGGUGGCUCCAGUUAAGAGAAAUGUCAUCUCUUUUUUCAAGAAAAAACAAAGGACCUUUGCGGUUCAUUGCAUUGAAAAGAUAGGGGUACGGUUACAAUCCUCCUAGGAGGUGGGUUUUACAGAACCAACAGUCUAUGUCAUCUCUUGAUAAUCAAUCUUGUGCGAAUGUUUAAAACAGAGGAGGGUCAGGUAGGAACAAUCUAAAAUAUACUGUGUCUAAUACAAGUUCACUAGGGUCAUGUCUGUAAAGAUAUGAAAAUGGUACCAAACCAAGGGAAUCUUAAAACCAUCUCAUAAGAAAGCUUCGUAGUAACAGGCCUAGAGCAAUACAUCGCUCAGGAAGGAUUAUACUGUAUGUCUUUUCGAGGGUCGUAUUUUCUGAUUGGAGUACAAAAGAAAACAGAUGUGAGAGAUGCAUAUCCAUUUCACAAUGGAAGAAGGUAAUGAGAGAAAGUAUAUAUACUGAACAUACUAUCUCUAGCCGAAGAUAUCUGCAUACACCAUACAAGAGGUAUAUUGAUUAUACUGUAUGUCUUUUCGAGGGUCGUAUUUUCUGAUUGGAGUACAAAAGAAAACAGAUGUGAGAGAUGCAUAUCCAUUUCACAAUGGAAGAAGGUAAUGAGAGAAAGUAUAUAUACUGAACAUACUAUCUCUAGCCGAAGAUAUCUGCAUACACCAUACAAGAGGUAUAUUCAGUUUGAAGUUUUACAACAGAGGGAAUGUAAGACAAGCAAUGGCCCAAUUCUGUGCCA